GAUGAACGCUGGCGGCGUGCUUAACACAUGCAAGUCGAACGAAGCACUUUACCUGAUUUCCUUCGGGGAUGAUUGUUCUGUGACUGAGUGGCGGACGGGUGAGUAACGCGUGGAUAACCUGCCUCACACAGGGGGAUAACAGUUGGAAACGACUGCUAAUACCGCAUAAGCGCACAGCACCGCAUGGUGCAGUGUGAAAAACUCCGGUGGUGUGAGAUGGAUCCGCGUCUGAUUAGCUGGUUGGCGGGGUAACGGCCCACCAAGGCGACGAUCAGUAGCCGGCCUGAGAGGGCGACCGGCCACAUUGGGACUGAGACACGGCCCAGACUCCUACGGGAGGCAGCAGUGGGGAAUAUUGCACAAUGGGGGAAACCCUGAUGCAGCGACGCCGCGUGAGCGAUGAAGUAUUUCGGUAUGUAAAGCUCUAUCAGCAGGGAAGAUA
rnacentral:rRNA from 1 species